GUGGGGAAUAUUGGGCAAUGGGCGCAAGCCUGAUCCAGCCAUGCCGCGUGAGUGAUGAAGGCCCUAGGGUUGUAAAGCUCUUUCACCGGAGAAGAUAAUGACGGUAUCCGGAGAAGAAGCCCCGGCUAACUUCGUGCCAGCAGCCGCGGUAAUACGAAGGGGGCUAGCGUUGUUCGGAAUUACUGGGCGUAAAGCGCACGUAGGCGGACAUUUAAGUCAGGGGUGAAAUCCCGGGGCUCAACCCCGGAACUGCCUUUGAUACUGGGUGUCUGGAGUAUGGAAGAGGUAAGUGGAAUUCCGAGUGUAGAGGUGAAAUUCGUAGAUAUUCGGAGGAACACCAGUGGCGAAGGCGGCUUACUGGUCCAUUACUGACGCUGAGGUGCGAAAGCGUGGGGAGCAAACAGGAUUAGAUACCCCAGUAGUCC
rnacentral:rRNA from 1 species